UACGGAGGAUGCAAGCGUUAUCCGGAAUGAUUGGGCGUAAAGGGUCCGCAGGUGGCAGUGUAAGUCUGCUGUCAAAGAAUGAGGCUUAACCUUAUCACGGCAGUGGAAACUACACAGCUAGAGUACGGUCGGGGUAGAAGGAAUUCCUGGUGUAGCGGUGAAAUGCGUAGAGAUCAGGAAGAACACCGGUGGCGAAAGCGUUCUGCUAGACCUGUACUGACACUGAGGGACGAAAGCUAGGGGAGCGAAUGGG
rnacentral:rRNA from 1 species